GAAGCCGCGAACAGUUCAGUUGGUGCUGACAUAAUUCAAUUUGGGUUACGUGCGAUCCAAGUGUCCAUUUGAUGGCAGAGUUUAGUGCAUUUGUGAAAACAAAGCAGAAAUUAUCAUCAUUCACCAUCAAACACCAGAUCCUUUUCCUCUUGUUUUCAAGAGGAUGAUGAAAUGGGUGACCAAUAGGACUUUGGCAGCAAGCAGGAAAAGUAGAAAAAAGGGAAAACAACAGAAAAUGUUUUACCCAGUUUUGCUUGCUCAUGGUGGCAAUCGGUCGGACUUUCCGAUGUUGGUGGACAACAUCUCUCGCCACAAAGCCUCAUCCGGCUAUUUGUACCCGAGACUUCGUGUGGGGGACACAUACCAACUUUGUGUAAAGCUUCAAGAAAACGGUUUGCCAAUAUUUGACAAACAAACGAAAUUAGGAAUGGAAGGUUUGCACAAAUUAUUCUUCCCUGGUGAAGACUUUAAAGAUCGUCACAGUGCUUUGGGAGAUGCCAGGUUGAUGAGGCAAAUUUUCGGGGGGCCGCUUCGCAACCACCUGGAAGAAAUCGAAACAAAGACGUUGUCUUCCUUUGUGGGUUUGCAAAAAAAGAAAAAGAAAAAAAAAGAAAGAAACCAAACCAUUGGCGAAGGUUGGCAUUGAAUUCGAGCAUUAACUCAGUAUUCGCUAGUAGUGCAAUUUGACGUAACCGCCUAUUUGGAAAGUUGAUUGAUGAAAGUUCAAUAUAAGAGGGGAGAAGCAGGGAUUAGCAGGAAAAGAUCUGAUGCAUGGGGAAGUAGUCAUCAAGACUGACCCCAUUCUAACGAAGAAACAAUUGAAAGAAGGAAAAAA